GCCGAAAUAGCUCAAUUGGUAGAGCAACUCAUUCGUAAUGAGUAGGUCGAAGGUUCAACUCCUUUUUUCGGCACCA
rnacentral:tRNA from 1 species